CCUACGGGGGGCAGCAGUGGGGAAUAUUGCACAAUGGGCGCAAGCCUGAUGCAGCCAUGCCGCGUGUGUGAAGAAGGCCUUCGGGUUGUAAAGCACUUUCAGCGGGGAGGAAGGCGUUAAGGUUAAUAACCUUGGCGAUUGACGUUACCCGCAGAAGAAGCACCGGCUAACUCCGUGCCAGCAGCCGCGGUAAUACGGAGGGUGCAAGCGUUAAUCGGAAUUACUGGGCGUAAAGCGCACGCAGGCGGUCUGUCAAGUCGGAUGUGAAAUCCCCGGGCUCAACCUGGGAACUGCAUUCGAAACUGGCAGGCUAGAGUCUUGUAGAGGGGGGUAGAAUUCCAGGUGUAGCGGUGAAAUGCGUAGAGAUCUGGAGGAAUACCGGUGGCGAAGGCGGCCCCCUGGACAAAGACUGACGCUCAGGUGCGAAAGCGUGGGGAGCAAACAGAAUUAGAUACCCCAGUAGUC
rnacentral:rRNA from 1 species